CAGUGUGGCAUGAUAAGCUUUGUGAUGGUGAACGCAGAGGAGCAAGAGAAGCAGUUCAUAUCUUCCAGGACCAAGCAAAAGCUAAAGAAGAAAAACUAGAGAAGUGUGGUGAGGAUGAUGAAACAAUCCCAUCUGAGUACAGAUUAAAACCAGCCAUGGAUAAAGAUGGAAAACCACUAUUGCCAGAGCCUGAAGAAAAACCCAAGCCUCGGAGUGAAUCAGAACUCAUUGAUGAACUUUCAGAAGAUUUUGACCGGUCUGAAUGUAAAGAAAAACCAUCUAAGCCAACUGAAAAGACAGAAGUAUGUUUCUAAACGUAUAAAUCUCUAGUUUUGAGGUUUGUGAUCUUAAAAAAAAAUUGUGAGACAGACUGUUUUAGCAUCAAGCAGUCUGUUAGAAAGCCCAA
rnacentral:sRNA from 1 species